rnacentral:lncRNA from 1 species
UUAGAAGUGGGUUGGACCCAUUGAGCUAGGGGGCUCCGACAGCCCCGUAAGAUAAAAUGCUUGCGUUACUAAAUGGUCCUUAGUGUAGGAUGGAUUUAGUGUCCCUAGUUUUUAAACUGCCAUUUAGAUACAUAGGUGGCAUGUGAUCAAUUUCACAUUCAUAGCUAGCUUUAUUAGCAUCUUUUUACCCCUUCUUUCUACCGCUCCAAAGGGUGUAUCAAGGACAGUUCCUCCCGCUGCAGAAAAAGAAACGAACCUUCCCGCGGCCGGUGCGGAUUCUUCUUGUCCAGUGCCUGGGCCCUGACUGCUCCUCUACCUCCACACCCUUAUCUCCACAUCUCACCACUGACUCGUUGAUUUGUGAGGGCGUGUGAGCUUCUGGAAAGAGUAACACAGAGGAAGAGCAGUUCCGAGAACUAAGAAGUGAGUACCUUUCUAGCUACUUUCUCCCUAAGGGACGUGGAGCCAUGUCCCCUCUCUGGGUCUCUGACUUCUCACCAGUUCUGUGAAGGAACUGUAUCUUUGAAGGUCCUUUUCUAGCUCUUGACUUCUGUGAGCUUUAUGAUGCCCCCACCCCGUCUGGUCUUUGACCUGUGGUACUUCAGAGCCUUCUAAGUGCUUAGAAGACAGGGAAUAUGACUGUUUUCCCCCUGGUUUAUGCCAGCACGGUUCCUGGCAAAGAACUGUCCCUCAAUAAAUAUUUAUUAAUGAAUGAAUGAACGAGACUGCCAUGAAUACGAUCCUUUGUCAUGAACAUCGUUAGAACACAUGGUCUGCUUUUGGAAGCACCAAAUAGGAAUUCUAUAUUUAGGUUCUUGGAAUUGGGAUAAUAACAUAACUCAGUAAUACCACGCGCUGAUUGAUUAAUGGGAAGUAUUUGCCCAUCUUCAGGAUUCCAUUUGGCUCUCCCUGUGGCCCCAGUAAGGAAGAUGUUACCAGUUCCAUUCUGCAGUCGUGAAACUGGAAAACAAAACAGAACAAUGAAACGGAUGAUAGUCAUGCCGUGGCCCCUUCUUCCCCUGGGAGACCUAGAACCAGCACCUGCUAUAUACCGGACCUAACGCUACUUCUACCUCAAAACUGAACUGUUCCUUUGGGGCUAUUUGAAUGCUAACUACUGACCAGAUAUUUGACCAUGUUAAGGAAUUAUUGUUUCUUUCUGUUUUUUGUUGUUGUUUGUUGUUUCUUCUCUCUCUCUCUCUCUCUUUUUUUUUUUUUUUGGUAUGAUAUUGAUAUUGUGAUAAUGUUAACAGUAUUUCAAUUUUGGAGCUUUGUCCUAAAAUAUGCACACAUG